GUGCUAUGAUGAUGAUUGCCUGUUUUCUUUGCCGUGGGUUCUUCAGGUGGAGGAGCAGAAAGAAGUUGGACGUGCUCUCCCAACGAGGUGUUGGUCAAUGCCCUUGUCAGCAGUGGUCGCACCUGCGUUCUUGUGUCCGAGGAGGACGAGGAGGCUUCAUACUUGGACCGAAAGCUCCGUGGGAAGUACUGUGUCUGCUUUGAUCCCCUGGAUGGCUCCUCCAACAUCGACUGCGGCAUGCCCAUCGGAAUGGUAUGCGCACAAGUAAUUUCACCGCUUAAAAGGUUGAACGGAACACACAAUUAAUAAGAAGUUGGAGUCACUAUCUGACUUGAUUUGAUUGUCGGGCGCAUGGAUAAAACAUGAUAGUCACAUCAGGAAAGGCGAUUUCAAAAGGAGCAUGAACCGCU